UUCCUCGUGGCCCAAUGGUCACGGCGUCUGGCUAAGAACCAGAAGAUUCCAGGUUCAAGUCCUGGCGGGGAAG
rnacentral:tRNA from 1 species